rnacentral:rRNA from 1 species
UGGGGAAUAUUGGACAAUGGGGGGAACCCUGAUCCAGCCAUGCCGCGUGUGUGAAGAAGGCCUUAUGGUUGUAAAGCACUUUAAGCGAGGAGGAGGGUACUGGUAUUAAUACUACCAGGUACUGGACGUACUCGCAGAAUAAGCACCGGCUAACUCUGUGCCAGCAGCCGCGGUAAUACAGAGGGUGCGAGCGUUAAUCGGAUUUACUGGGCGUAAAGCGUGCGUAGGCGGCUAAUUGAGUCGGAUGUGAAAUCCCCGAGCUUAACUUGGGAAUUGCAUUCGAUACUGGUUAGCUAGAGUGUGGGAGAGGAUGGUAGAAUUCCAGGUGUAGCGGUGAAAUGCGUAGAGAUCUGGAGGAAUACCGAUGGCGAAGGCAGCCAUCUGGCCUAACACUGACGCUGAGGUACGAAAGCAUGGGGAGCAAACAGG